AACGAACGCUGGCGGCGUGCUUAACACAUGCAAGUCGAACGAGAAAGCCACUUCGGUGGUGAGUAUAGUGGCGCACGGGUGAGUAAUACAUAGGAACGUACCUAAUGGUGGGGAAUAACCACGGGAAACUGUGGCUAAUACCGCAUGAUGUCGCAAGACCAAAGAAGGCCUCUGCUUGCAAGCUUUCGCCAAUAGAUCGGCCUAUGUCCCAUUAGCUUGUUGGUAGGGUAAAGGCCUACCAAGGCGACGAUGGGUAGCUGGUCUGAGAGGAUGAUCAGCCACACUGGAACUGAGACACGGUCCAGACUCCUACGGGAGGCAGCAGUGGGGAAUCUUGCACAAUGGGGGGCAACCCUGAUGCAGCAACGCCGCGUGAGUGAAGAAGGCCCCUUGGGUUGUAAAGCUCUUUUCAGCUAGGAAGAAGGGUACAUUGGUUAAUACCCAGUGUAUUUGACGGUACUAGACUAAGAAGCACCGGCUAAUUCCGUGCCAGC
rnacentral:rRNA from 1 species